AUUGAACGCUGGCGGCAGGCCUAACACAUGCAAGUCGAACGAGUGGCGGACGGGUGAGUAAUGUCUGGGAAACUGCCUGAUGGAGGGGGAUAACUACUGGAAACGGUAGCUAAUACCGCAUACCAUCAGAUGUGCCCAGAUGGGAUUAGCUUGUUGGUGGGGUAACGGCUCACCAAGGCGACGAUCCCUAGCUGGUCUGAGAGGAUGACCGGCCACAGUGAAAGUAUGACACGUUCCUAACCCCACCGUGGUGCAGCAGGGGGGAAUAUUGAACAAUGGGCGCAAGCCUAAUGCAGCCGUGCCGCGUGUAUGAGGAAGGCCUUCGGGUUGUAAGGUACUUUCAGCGGGGAGGCGUUACCGGCAGAGGAGGCACCGGCUAACUCCGUGCCAGCAGCCGCGGUAUUU
rnacentral:rRNA from 1 species